rnacentral:rRNA from 1 species
UGCUCUCGCAAAGGGCCCGACUAUAUCUUAAGCAGCGUUAAGCUACCCACCAACAUUUAGUCUGUGAACUGCACUCAUAUCAACAUUGCUGCUGACUUAGAGCUUGGCUGCGGAUUGUCCAUUGUAGCAUCCUUUACGUUUUUACCAUACCCAGGGCUGUUAGCUCGGCCAUGAAAUGUGUUUCCACUCUCACUUGGUAGUAAAGGCUUUAGGAGAUCCCCGCAAUUUGAAGGUGUCGCUUCUUAUAAAGAAACUAGCGAGUUGCUUUCGCACCGCUGUAUGCCCCCUAUACAAACAAAAGGGCAGGGACGUAAUCAACGCAAGCUGAUGACUUACGCUUACUAGGAAUUCCUCGUUGAAGAGCAAUAAUUGCAAUGCUCUAUCCCCAGCACGACAAAGUUUCACAAGAUUACCCAGUCCUUCCGGACAAGGUGAUAAACUCGCUGGCUCCGUCAGUGUAGCGCGCGUGCGGCCCAGAACAUCUAAGGGCAUCACAGCAUUAUGUGAAUGGUUAUAAGUUUCAAACCAACUCACUCCAGCAAAGUCACGUAGACUUGCUCCCUCUGGCUUCGGCUUAUGAGACCUAAUCCAAAGGACCUGCUUACGCAGGGGUUUAGCACGUACCUUAAGCCCUUCCCCCAUAUGGCGGAAGGACCGACACCUUUGCGUGCGUUGCGACGGAUGAUCGUUACUCAUCUCGCCACAGGAUCAGCACUGCCUUGUUUAAGGCAGGCUUUCCCUGUACCAGGUUGUCUUGCACUCAUCAACACACUUGCGUGCGUCCGCUGCCUCAUAAUGGGAACACUUGCUCCACGGCGGUAAAGAUGAUGUACUAGCAGAAUAUAUAUACAAAGCUUGAUGCCUGCUUUUACAGGCCUGUGAAGGUUAACCUGUUAUUGCCUCAAACUUCCAUUAGCUAAACGCUAAUAGUCCCUCUAAGAAGACAGCGGCUAACCAUAGUCGGCCGGUCUAUUUAGCAGGUUAAGGUCUCGUUCGU